rnacentral:rRNA from 1 species
AUUGAACGCUGGCGGCAGGCCUAACACAUGCAAGUCGAGCGGAGCGGCGGACGGGUGGGUAAUGCCUAGGAAUCUGCCUGGUAGUGGGGGAUAGCGUCCGGAAACGGGAGCUAAUACCGCAUACUAUCAGAUUAGCCGAGGUCGGAUUAGCUAGUUGGUGGGGUAAAGGCCUACCUAGGCGACGAUCCGUAACUGGUCUGAGCGGAUGAUCAGUCAGACGGGCACUGUGACACGGUCCAGACGCCUCCGGGAGGCAGCAGUGGGGAAGAUUGGGCAAAGGGCGGAAGCCUGAUCCAGCCAUGCCGCGGGUGUGAAGAAGGUCUUCGGAGUGUAAAGCACUUUAAGUUGGGAGGCGUUACCAACAGAAGAAGCACCGGCUAACUUCGUGCCAGCAGCCGCGGUAAUAC